rnacentral:ncRNA from 1 species
UAAUUGUUUGAUUCUAGCUACCCCUUUGGUUAUAUUGUAAUGUUAUACAUGCCAGCUACAGCACUCCCGUGAGUAAAGUGUUGUUAUAAUUCUAAAAGAAUCCUCAACACAUCAUAAUAAGACUAAUCAUAAAAUUUAUAUUAUUCACGCCUGCAGUAUAGAAUCCUGCCCAACUAAAAAUAUUAGAAACGGAUAACAAUCCUAGUGUUGAUAAAAUUCGUGCCAGCUAUCGCGGUUAUACGAUAAACACAAAUCAAAGCAAUCGGUAAAGUAUUGAUGUGAACAUUUUAUAACAAUAGUACAAUAUAAACUGUAAACCUUAAAUAAUUCACAUCUCACACUAACGAAAGGGUGGAAAAAAACAAGGAUUAGAUACCCUUCUAUCCCACCCCAUAAAAAACAUGCCGGGCACUACGAACACAUGUUUAAAACCCAAAGAACAUUGGCGGCAUCUUACGCUAUUAGGGGAGUCUGUUGUAGAAUCGACAAUCCACGAUUAACCCCACUCAACCUUGAAUACUCAGUCAGUGUACUGCCGUCGUAAGUUAACCUUAAAAGAGACAAAGUUAACCAAAAGAACCUUUUACUUUCUUCCACACGUCAGGUCAAAGUGCAGCUAACGGUUGAGACACAAUGGACUACAUUAAUUAAAUAACUGGACGUGUAACCGACAUGUUACAUCAAAAUUGGACUUAAUAGUAAAUUUAUAAUAGAAUAAUGAAUUGAAACCGCAAUCUAAGAUGUGCACACAUCGCCCGUCACUCUCGCCGAAAGGGGAGACAAGUCGUAACACAGUAGGCGUAACUGAAGUUGUGCCUUCAAAAUA